rnacentral:rRNA from 1 species
AGCAGCCGCGGUAAUACGGAGGGAGCUAGCGUUGUUCGGAAUUACUGGGCGUAAAGCGCACGUAGGCGGCUUUGUAAGUUAGAGGUGAAAGCCUGGAGCUCAACUCCAGAAUUGCCUUUAAGACUGCAUCGCUUGAAUCCAGGAGAGGUGAGUGGAAUUCCGAGUGUAGAGGUGAAAUUCGUAGAUAUUCGGAAGAACACCAGUGGCGAAGGCGGCUCACUGGACUGGUAUUGACGCUGAGGUGCGAAAGCGUGGGGAGCAAACAGGAUUAGAUACCCUG